UAAAGGGUAACACCGGCUACGGGUGGCCAUGCGGCGCAUUAGCUAGUUGGCGGGGUAACGGCCCACCAAGGCGACGAUGCGUAGGGGUUCUGAGAGGAAGGUCCCCCACACUGGUACUGAGACACGGACCAGACUCCUACGGGAGGCAGCAGUGAGGAAUAUUGGUCAAUGGGCGCGAGCCUGAACCAGCCAAGUCGCGUGAGGGAAGACGGUCCUAUGGAUUGUAAACCUCUUUUGUCGGGGAGCAAAAGACGCCACGUGUGGCGUUCCGAGAGUACCCGAAGAAAAAGCAUCGGCUAACUCCGUGCCAGCAGCCGCGGUAAUACGGAGGAUGCGAGCGUUAUCCGGAUUUAUUGGGUUUAAAGGGUGCGCAGGCGGAAGAUCAAGUCAGCGGUAAAAUUGAGAGGCUCAACCUCUUCGAGCCGUUGAAACUGGUUUUCUUGAGUGAGCGAGAAGUAUGCGGAAUGCGUGGUGUAGCGGUGAAAUGCAUAGAUAUCACGCAGAACUCCGAUUGCGAAGGCAGCAUACCGGCGCUCAACUGACGCUCAUGCACGAAAGUGUGGGUAUCGAACAGGAUUAGAUACCCUGGUAGUCCACACAGUAAACGAUGAAUACUAAUUGUUCGGGGAGAAUGAUCCCUGA
rnacentral:rRNA from 1 species